rnacentral:rRNA from 1 species
UACGCAGGUGGCAAGCGUUACUCGGAAUUACUAGGCGUAAAGGGCAUGUAGGUGGUCUGAUAAGUCUGUUGUGAAAGCUCCCGGCUUAACUGGGAGAGGUCAACAGAAACUAUCAGGCUUGAGUAUAGGAGAGGGUACUGGAAUUCCCGGUGUAGCGGUGAAAUGCGCAGAUAUCGGGAGGAACACCAAUGGCGAAAGCAGGUACCUGGACUAUUACUGACACUCAGCUGCGAAAGCUAGGGGAGCAAACAGG